CAGUAGGUUUCAGCUACCAUAAACUUUUGGCAGUAACAUGAUUCUAACAUCCCACCCUUCCCCAUCAUGCCAUGGAGGCUCUUUUUCAGACCUAAGAUGUAUACUAUCUGCCCAUGAAGGUUGGGAGAAGUCAUCUGAGGCCUUGAAGCUGGGGUUCUUAUAUACGAUUAUGAACUGUCAUGUGAAAUCUGGGAAUAAAAGCCAGGUCCUUGGCAAGAUUAGCAAGUGCUCUUAACCUGUGUGCCAUGCCUUCAGCCUGCAGUUGUAAAUUCUGCAUUUGCGAAGUUAAGAAGAAAUCAUCUCUGACAGGCAGAGCACCCUUCAAGUCCUUAGACUCACAAGUUUGUGGCUAUUACAACAUCUUGCUUUCUGUGCCUUUGUAUGUAACUGCUCUUUCUGAUAAAACAAUAAAGAAAAUGUCCCUUAAA